rnacentral:rRNA from 1 species
GAUGAACGCUGGCUGCGUGCAUAACACAUUCAAGUCGAACGGACAAGGGGACUUCGGUCCCUGCGUUAGUGGCGGACGGGUGAGUAACGCGUGAGCAACCUGCCCCUGUGUGUGGAAUAACGUUUGGAAACGAACGCUAAUACCGCAUAAUGCAUGAGGAUCGCAUGGUCUUUAUGCCAAAGAUUUAUUGCACAGGGAUGGGCUCGCGUCCGAUAAUGUAGGUGGAGAGGUAACGGCCCAACAAGUCGACGAUCGGCUGCCGGACUGAGAGGUUGAACGGCCACAUUGGAACUGAGAAACGGUCCAGACUCCUACGGGAGGCAGCAGUGGGGAAUAUUGGGCAAUGGGCGAAAGCCUGACCCAGCGACGCCGCGUGAAGGAAGACGGUCUUCGGAUUGUAAACUUCUUUUAUAAGGGACGAAGCAUGACGGUACCUUAUGAAUAAGCCACGGCUAACUACGUGCCAGCCGCCGCAGUAACAC